AUCCAUCCAAUCUUGCCUCCAUUCUCGUAUUGACCAUGCCACACAACCACCAUAGCACCAGGAAAGUGGCUUUGAAUACCAAUGAUAGGUAUUACAGACCUAUACGAAUGAACUUGGUUAAACUGUAAAAUGUAAUAUAGCAUUCAUUGAACCUCUUAAGAGAGGACCCAAACAAAUAACUUUCUGGUUAUUAGAGAGAACUAGACUCUCCCUCCCUAACUUUCACAAAUUACAAAAUAAAGAUAGAAACUGUUAAAACUGUCCAUUCUGACUCUAUAGAAGUUAGAUGCAACUAACUACAGAUGAAUAACUACCUUACAUAUAUUUAAAACUGUCUGUCAUACAAUAAACUAAAUCAUACAGUUUUCCUUUUGUUGUAAACCUUCCCUUUGUACCUAUCAUGUUGUUCACAUUUUUUUUUGUUUAACCUUGUUUUAUCCAAAUAAAUGAAGACUGAGUACCCACCUUUCAGGACCAUUGAUAUACUUUUCUUUAAUUGUAUAAUUAUGGCAUUGAUCCUGCUCACUUUCCUGUGAAUGUGAAUUCACAUAAUUAUUUUGAUGUCUCCUUUUUGUCACAACCAUAACCCGAAUUAUUAACAUAAACAUUUAUAAGUUAAGACUUGUUUUUCAAUAUCAUAAUUUUUUUUUUAAAUUAAAUAAAGGGUUCUUUUUUUGGAGCACAAGGAAUAGUUCAUUUUAAAAGAAAACAAAAUAACUUAAUGUGACAAAUGGGUUAAAGAAUCAUUAUUAUGAAGGGGAACAAAAUGAACAAGCCAAGAAUGGAGAAUUCUUACAACUUACGAACAUUUUUUCUGCAUUUGUGUGAGAUUUUCCUUGACUUAUCAAACAUACCAGAUUGAUGUUGCUACAUGACUCUCGUAAUGAUGAUGGGAUUAAAAGUUUCUUCCAAGAGGUGCACGAGCUUUACAUAAAGACUCUCCUCAAUCCUCUGUACUUGCCUGGCUCCCGGAUCACGUCGUCGCAUUUUGAUACCAAAGUCCGAGCUCUUGCACGAAAGUAUUUGUAGAAAUUACUAAUGUUUUUGUGGUUGCUAGUUCAUAUUGCUGCGAUUUGAUUAUUGUCUUGUUCGUUGUUGAUUAGAUUUGAAAAUCGGUCUCUCUUUAAUCUUUUAUCCAUGAUUUGGCAGCAAAGGGUAGGUUUACUGUUGUCUAUAGUGUACCUCAGUCAUUAGCAGGUGAGAUGACUGUUUUUUCCUGAUGAAAGCUAUUGUUGACAAACUAUUCGAUAUUUCGAUUGCUAGUGACUUUCAUUUGUAAUAAUAUUGAUCUUGUAUUUAAUGCUCAA